rnacentral:rRNA from 1 species
AGUGAACGCUGGCGGCAGGCCUAACACAUGCAAGUCGAACGGCAGCACAGUAAGAGCUUGCUCUUGCGGGUGGCGAGUGGCGGACGGGUGAGGAAUACAUCGGAUUCUACUUUUUCGUGGGGGAUAACGUAGGGAAACUUACGCUAAUACCGCAUACGACCUACGGGUGAAAGCAGGGGAUCUUCGGACCUUGCGCGAUUGUAUGAGCCGAUGUCGGCUUAGGUUGUUGGCGGGGUAAAGGCCCAACAAGGCGACGCUCCGUAGCAGGUCUGAGGGGAUGAACAGCCACCCUGUAACUGAGGAACGGUCCCGACACCUACGGGGAGCAGCAGUGGGGAAUAUUAGAGAAUGGGGGCAAGGCUGAUCCAGCCAUAUCGCGUGGAGGAAGAAGGCCUUAUGGUUGGUAAGCCCUUUUGGUGUGAGAGAAAAGCAGCAGUUUAAUACCCCGCGGUUCUGACGGUACCCGAAGAAUAAGCACCGGCUAACUUCGUG